rnacentral:rRNA from 1 species
AUGAGUCGUCGUGAUGGCAUCAACAUCCCCGAUGGCAAGUUCUACCUAGGAGAUGCUGCCUAUGCAUGUCGGCCGGGCGUUCUUCCACCCUUCAGGAAAACUAGGUACAAUCUGAACGAGUUCUCUGGUAGAAACUAUCCAAGAACUCCUCAGGAACUAUUCAAUCUCGGACACUCCAACCUUAGAGUAACGUUUGAUACGGAAUUUGGAGCUUUGAAGAAUAGGUUUAAGAUCGAUCAAAAGCCAUUACACCCUUACCCUACCCAGGUCAAGCUUGUUCUUGCAUUCAUUUUUAAGAAAAAAAUACAUACUUACGCUAGCUGCAACAUUCAAGAAUAUGGUUGCAUGGGUGGAUACUUCUUGCAUUCAUUUUUCUGA